rnacentral:sRNA from 1 species
AUCUGCGGUCCAGGAUGAGGGGCCUUGUGGUGUUCCUUGCAGUCUUUGCUCUCUCUGAGGUCAAUGCCAUCACCAGGGUUCCUCUGCACAAAAGGAAGUCGCUGAGGAGGGCCCUGAAGGAGUGCAGGCUCCUGGAGGACUUCCUGAGGAAUCACCAUUACGCAGUCAGCAGGAAGUGGUGACCACUUCUGGAGUGGUGGCCAGCAAGUCUCUGACCAACUACCUGGAUUGUCAGGACCCCUCCCCAGGAGUUCACCGUGGUGUUUGAUAAGGACUCCUUGGAUCUCUGGGUGCCCUCUGUCUACUGCAACAGUGAUGCCUGUUAAAACCACCAAUGCUUCGAUCCGUCCAAGUCCUCCACCCACAGAACAUGGGCAAGUCCCUGUCCAUCCAGUAUGGCACAGGCAGCAUGCAGGCUUGCUGGGCUGUGACACUGUCACCGUCUCCAACAUUGUGGACCCCCACCAGACUGUGGGCCUGAGCACCCAGGAACCUGGCGACAUCUUCACCUACUCCGAGUUUGAUGGGAUCCUGGGGCUGGCCUAUCCCUCUCUUGCCUCUGAGUAGUCAGUGCCCAUGUUUGACAACAUGAUGCAGAGGCACCUGGUGGCCCAAGACCUGUUCUCAGUCUACAUGAGCAGGAAUGACCAGGGGAGCAUGCUCACGCUGGGGGCCAUUGACCUGUCCUACUACACAGGCUCCCUGCACUGGAUACCCAUGACUGCAAGAAUACCAAUAGUUCACUGUGGACAGUGUCAUCAUUGAUGGCGUGGUGGUGGCCUGUGACGGUGGCUGUCAGGCCAUCCUGGACACCGGCACCUCCCUGCUGGUGGGGCCUGGCAGCAACAUCCUCAACAUCCAGCAGGAUGCCACCGCAGGCCAGUACAAUGAGUUUGACAUCAACUGCGGGUGCCUGAGCAGCAUGCCCACGGUUGUCUUCGAGAUCUACGGCCAGAAGUAUCCCCUGCCACCCUCCGCCUACAGCAGCCAGGACCAGGGCUUCUGCACCAGUGGUUUCCAGGGUGACUAUAGUUCCCAGCAGUGGAUCCUGGGGGAUGUCUUCAUCCGGGAGUAUUACAGUGUCUUUGACAGGGCCAAUAACUGUGUGGGGCUGGCGAAGGCUGUCUGAUUGCAUCACUGGCCAUGGACCUCAAUGUGACCAAACACACACGCGCACAUAGAUGAGAUGUGCAGGCAGAUGGUUCCCAAUAAACACCGCAUUUCUGCAAAGCCUG